GACGAACCGAGCGAACGUUGUUCGGAAUCACUGGGCUUAAAGGGCGCGUAGGCGGCCGCGUACGUCCGGGGUGAAAUCCUCCCGCCCAACGGGAGAACGGCCCUGGAUACGGCGCGGCUCGAGGGGGGCAGGGGCCCGCGGAACACCCGGUGGAGCGGUGAAAUGCGUUGAUAUCGGGUGGAACUCCGGUGGCGAAAGCGGCGGGCUGGACCCUUUCUGACGCUGAGGCGCGAAAGCCAGGGGAGCGAACGGG
rnacentral:rRNA from 1 species